UUUAUCUACUGACCCAGAGUCAGAUAGUCUCCUUUAUCUACUGACCCAGAGUCAGAUGGGCUCCUUUAUCUACUGACCCAGAGUCAGAUGGUCUCCUUUAUCUACUGACCCAGAGUCAGAUGAGGUCCUUUAUCUACUGACCCAGAGUCAGAUGGUCUCCUUUAUCUACUGACCCAGAGUCAGAUGGUCUCCUUUAUCUACUGACCCAGAGUCAGAUGGUCUCCUUUAUCUACUGACCCAGAGUCAGAUGGUCUCCUUUAUCUACUGACCCAGAGUCAGAUGGUCUCCUUUAUCUACUGACCCAGAGUCAGAUGGUCUCCUUUAUCUACUGACCCAGAGUCAGAUGGUCUCCUUUAUCUACUGACCCAGAGUCAGAUGAGGUCCUUUAUCUAUUGACCCAGAGUCAGAUGGCCUCCUUUAUCUACUGACCCAGAGUCAGAUGGUCUCCUUUAUCUACUGACCCAGAGUCAGAUGAGGUCCUUUAUCUACUGACCCAGAGUCAGAUGGUCUCCUUUAUCUACUGACCCAGAGUCAGAUGGUCUCCUUUAUCUACUGACCCAGAGUCAGAUGGCCUCCUUUAUCUACUGACCCAGAGUCAGAUGGUCUCCUUUAUCUACUGACCCAGAGUCAGAUGAGGUCCUUUAUCUAUUGACCCAGAGUCAGAUGGCCUCCUUUAUCUACUGACCCAGAGUCAGAUGGUCUCCUUUAUCUACUGACCCAGAGUCAGAUGAGGUCCUUUAUCUAUUGACCCAGAGUCAGAUGGUCUCCUUUAUCUACUGACCCAGAGUCAGAUGAGGUC